AAAAGAGGCUCGAAGUAUCAUUCUUCGAGCCAAGCGUUUUUGCUGACCCUAGGGGCAUGGGUCUCCGUGCGCUGUCAAAAGCACAACUGGAUGAAAUUCUGACAUUAGCUGAGUGCACCAUUGUCGACUCUUUGUCAAAUGACUAUCUUGAUUCGUAUGUCCUUUCAGAGUCGAGCCUCUUUGUGUACCCAUACAAGUUCAUCAUCAAAACCUGCGGCACUACUAAGCUGCUUCUCUCUAUCCCAGCUCUGUUGAAGUUGGCUGAUUCUCUGUCUCUUACUGUGAAGUGUGUGAGGUACACUCGUGGCAGCUUUAUCUUUCCUGGUGCCCAGUCUUUUCCCCAUCGCAGCUUCUCUGAGGAAGUUGCCGUCCUUGAUGGCUAUUUGGCCAAGCUUGGCCUCAAAGGCUCUGCUAUUGUGAUGGGAAGUCCUGAUGAAACAAGGAAAUGGCACGUUUAUUCUGCCUGUGCCAACAUGGGGAGUCAAAGUAACAACCCUGUUUAUACCCUGGAAAUGUGCAUGACUGGCUUAGACAAGGAGAAGGCAUCUGUCUUCUUCAAAACAGAUGCAAGUUCUGCUGCUGCGAUGACUGAAAAUUCUGGUAUUAGGAAAAUCCUUCCAAAAUCUGAAAUAUGUGACUUCGAGUUCGACCCUUGUGGUUAUUCCAUGAAUGCCAUUGAAGGAGAUGCAGAGUCUACAAUCCAUGUUACUCCAGAA
rnacentral:misc_RNA from 1 species